rnacentral:rRNA from 1 species
UACGUAGGUGGCAAGCGUUGUCCGGAUUUAUUGGGUUUAAAGGGUGCGUAGGCGGCCUUUUAAGUCAGUGCUGAGAUAUCCCGGCUUAACCGGGAGGGUGGCAUUGAUACUGAAAGGCUUGAGUAAAGUUGAGGUUGGCGGAAUUGACGGUGUAGCGGUGAAAUGCUUAGAUAUCGUCAAGAACACCGAUAGUGCAGACAGCUAACUAAGCUUUAACUGACGCUGAGGCACGAAAGUGUGGGGAUCAAACAAG